rnacentral:rRNA from 1 species
GACGAACGCUGGCGGCGCGCUUAACACAUGCAAGUCGAGCGAAGCGGCGGACGGGUGAGUAACACGUGAGUAACCUGCCUUAGACCUUGGGAUAGCCUCGGGAAACCGGGAUUAAUACCAAAUGGUCUAAGAUGGACUCGCGUCCCAUUAGCUAGUUGGUGGGUAACGGGCCACCAAGGCGACGAUGGGUAGACGGGCUCGGAGAGUGAACGGCCACAGUGGCACGGAGAAACGGUCGAAACUCUACGGGAGGCAGCAGUGGCGAAUAUAGCACAAUGGCGGGAACGCGGAUGCACCGACGCCGGGUGAAUGAAGACGGCUUUCGAGUCGUAAAGUACUUUUAUAUGGGAAGCGGUACCAUAAGAAAAAGCCCCGGCUAACUACGUGCCAGCAGCCGCGGUAAUAC